AUAAUGACUCAGACCGGACGCGAGCGUCCUUUUCUGCUGAGCUUCGAAGCGGGAGGUUGAGUGCGGUGCGUGGGCAAUCCGUCGCCAUCCGGUCCCGUGAUGAUGGGGGUUUUCCUUCCUAUGCUGAAUGGCCGUGUGAACUGUAGUGACUGCAUUGGAGUGGGAAAAACGUGAUGGGAUCCUCUGCUGCUGAUCUGUUUCUGAGAAGAUGGGAUAGGGUAUAGUGGCAAAUCGGGUUGAGUAGGUGAAGUGGACUGACAGAGAAGAGAUGGCAAUUUAAGCCAUGAAAGAAGAACCUCCUGUUCCACUGAGAAGCCUCAUAAGUGAAAGAAACAUGGAUAUGUACAGGUGUGCUUGCUUGGACGUGGAUAUUUGAAAGAUUGCCUUAAGAGAUUGGAUGAGUCUUCACGUUGAACAUCUUUUGAAGGUGUUGGUGACUUAAGGUUGAAGGAUUCCGGAUGCUGUCUGUUGGCCAGCCUGGACUUCAAGGUGCUCCUGAAAGUAGCUGAGAUGUCAAAGGUCCUGAAGUUGAAAUGUCAGGCACUUAUUGUUAACACUAAUAAAUACAUGAUUUUCACCAA